GCGCCACUUCACUUCCACUGUUCGGAGACGAGCGAGAGGCAGAGAGAGAGCGGCGAUGGGGGAAUCGAAGACCGUCCAUGCGGCGCUGGUCACCUACGUUUUCCAUUAUCUCCCUCCUCACCCUCUGCCCUCCCUCCGUCAUCCUACUAUGGAUUCUAUAUUUGCUGGGGAUGCUUGGUGUGGGUCCCAUAGUCUAUACUUCUCCUGGGUACACAGCUUGCACUCUCUAUACUUGUGGCUGGACUUCUCUACAUAUACAUCAACUAUGACUGUGAUAGACAAGACAAGGAUUCCGCAGAACAAAUGGGAAGUGUUUGGUUUGGGGAAAAGCUCCAUCAAAGUUUUCUAUCCUCUGCGUGAUUCAGUUUUCAACAUAAAUUAUCUUGCAUACUUUUGCAGUAUAGUGUGGUGUUCUUCUGACUUUUUGUGUUGAAUUUUAUGAGAUUGUAGCAUCCUAUCGGACCACCAGUGGGGAAACAAAAGGCAGCCUUCUUCUCACUUCUGGCUGGUGGGGUUUGUCUCGUCACUUCCACUAUGUGCCUGAGAUAUUAGCUGCAUUUUGCUGGACUAUGCCGGCUCUUUUUAAUCAUUUCCUGCCUUACUUCUAUGUGUUGUUCUGAUCAUUCUCCUUUUCGACCGGGCAAAAAGAGAUGAUCACCGAUGUUCAUCCAAUGAGCCAGGGUCUUGGGAGGGGUGGACUGGGAACAAACUAGCCUUUGUUGCAAUUUUUUUGCAUAAAGUGGCUGCCCCAAGAGUUGAACCCGCACCAUAUCAUGGCAUCUUUUACUGAGAAGAAGGAAAAACAUGUUUCCCAUGCGUGCAUUCUGUUUGUUGAGCAUGCAAUUGUGCAAUUUCAAUGUUUAGAUGAUAGAUACUAGUUUUACCUCGUUGGCUGCAUGCUGUAUGACUGACUGAUUUUAUUCCCAGAUUUCAAGGUCAUUUGAAAUUUUUGUUGGCCCUCCUUAUAGGAGCAUAUUUAUUAUUGCUGCUUUCAUCUUUCACUGUGCCAUAGUCAUUGUGCCUCUGCACCCCUUAAGGGAAUAGAUUGGCUAUCUUGCCGACAACAAAUUUUUCUGAUGAACUUCUGUGAACUGCUGGAUAUGUUGGAAAACAUCUGUUCUGCCUUGACUGCUACUUCUGAAGGCUGAUGUUCUCACACUACAGAAACUAGUAGUAGUCUAUUAAUUUGCUAUUAAUAGUCUCAUUUAAGAAAAUUACGUAGUUCUUUGCUUUUAUGUAUGGUUAUCGCAAUGCACUCAUUUGUGCAGUUGUAAUUUGGAGGUCAGAACAAAUAUCCAUGGUAAGAAAUUAGCUCACCUAGAGGACAAGCUGAUAGCUCCUCUUAUUAGUUCUGCUGCAGCCUUUCCUGUGGUAAAUUUUGUAGUUUUCUCGACUCUUGAGAGAACACAUAGAAAAGCCUAACUUCCCUCUUGAGAUGUCUGCAUUUAUAGGGGACUCAUGCUAUGUACUGGUAGCAUUUCAUUCUUACCCUGAACUUUGUCGAUGUAUUCUGACUGGUACGGGUACUGAAACAUGUACUGUGAAAAGGUGCCUCACAGGAUUGUACCUGUGAUCCAUUGAGUUUUCUUGGUUGGUAGGCACAAUAACAAUCUUCACUUACAGUAAGAUCAGCACACCAGGAGGAAUGGUUUGCGAACUGUUUCACCCUGUAACAUCAUAAUGUAAGUCGUGAAGUUUCAUGCAUGCAUCCAUCCACAAGGAUACAUAUGAUGCAUAUAUGAGCCUCUAGUCAUUGAGCUAUAAGUUGGACAUCUUGGAUGUGGUUAGUUGCUUUUCAUUUUUUUUUUCUGUUUGCUCGAUCAUAUUCCCUUCAUGAAAUGAUAUAUGGUGGUGCCCUCCAGUUGAUUCUAUCAGUGCUUCACUGCUGCUUUGGCUACACUUAAAUGUCAACAAAUAUGGUGCAUUGGUCUGUCUUUCAUAUAUAAGUUGAUAGGCCGGUCUUAUUUGUCUAACUCAAGCAGAUAUUUUCAAGUUUUUUAGGGUUUAUAAAUGAUCAUGGGAUGAAACAUGGUUAAUAUCUGAGUUCUUGGUUCCA